AAAAGUCGGGAUGUUUUAGGGUUUUGCUGUAAAAAACAGGCGCUUAUGUGAGGCACGGCAAAGCCGUCCAUUCCCACCGGCAUCAUCGCAGCCCCGCACGGCCCUGCCUCCAGGCCGGACAGCGUUUGCCUUGGCCGAGCAGGGUCACGCAGGCUUGCGUGUGGUAGAGACCUCGUGGGGGAUUUUCUCUCUCGCUCCCCUGAAAUCGUGAGGCGGCCUCCAUGGUGAAGAAGGCACACUCUGAAGAAGACGACCUGAGAAGAGCAAGUAGGGGGUCCACCGAGAGGAGUUGCUGGUGACUGUCAAUGAACAAAAUCUAAGGAUCUGUCCCAUUGAGAAAAGUACAACUGCAGGAACUGGCCCUCUGAAAGAAGAUGUAACACUGAGAAACAUACUGCUGUGGCUGUGAAGACAAAAGAGACAUGCUGGGCAAGUGUGCUGAGAAGACAAUGUUUAAAACCACCCACAGACAAAAGCAUGGAGUCUAGCUAAGAGCUGGCUCGCAGGAUAGGCUGGAACCAAGCUACGAACUCAGCCAAAGAAUCCUCUGGCUCUGUUUUCUCUU